UACGCGCCAGCCGCGGGUUCGGCAUGCGAU
rnacentral:sRNA from 1 species